GGGUGGGGUGGGGGAGUCGACGAAAAAAAAGCGUACGUACUUUAUGGACGACCCCUUAUUUGAUUAACUUACGUUACUCUCACUUCUAUUAUCCGAUUAUGUAAUAUUAACUUACGGAUAAGUGAUACUAUUAAAAAAUGAAUCCUAUAAAGUAUGCAACUGAUUUCGAGAAGUCUGUCUUAAUAGAUAAUUUUGUUAAAAGAGGAUGGAGUAAAUGUUCUCCAGAAGAUAAUUGGAACUUUUACUGGGCAUGUGUUUCUAAUGUGUACAAAAUUUAUAACAUUGAUUCUGGUUACCGUCUUAAUGAUGAUCAAAUUAUUAAUCAUUUCCCAAAUCAUUAUGAGUUGACGCGCAAAGAUCUGAUGCUGAAAAACAUAAAACGCUAUCGAAAAGAUUUAGAAAAAGAAGGCAGUCUUUAUGCAGAAAAAGAUGUUACUGGAAAAUAUUUAUAUUUAGAUUUUAUCCCAACAACGUUUACAUUACCUAGUGAUUAUAAUUUAUUUGUUGAAGAAUUUCGAAAGAGUCCUACUUCACCAUGGAUUAUGAAACCAGCCAGCCGAUCCCAAGGUGAUGGUAUAUUUUUAAUUAACAGUCUUUCGCAAUUAAAGAAAUGGUCUCGAGAUGGAAACUAUACAAUGCUAAAUAAUCACACAGCCAAUAAAGAAACUUAUGUCAUAUCUCGUUAUAUUGGAAAUCCUCUUUUGAUCGGUGGAAAAAAGUUUGAUUUGCGUCUCUAUGUAUUGGUAACAUCAUUCAAACCGUUGAAUUGUUACAUUUAUAAACUGGGUUUUUGUCGUUUUUGUACUGUAAAGUAUAAUGCUGGUAUCAAUGAACUGGAUAACAUGUUUGUUCAUUUAACUAAUGUUUCAAUACAAAAACAAGGAGCAGAAUAUAAUGCUACACAUGGUGGAAAAUGGACAAUAAAUAAUUUAAGAUUAUAUUUGGAAGGAACAAAAGGAAAAGAAGUUGCAGACAAACUUUUUGAUGAUAUUAAUUGGUUGAUUGUUCAUUCUUUAAAAGCUGUCCAGAAUGUUAUUCAUAAUGACAAGCAUUGUUUUGAAUGUUACGGUUAUGAUGUCAUCAUUGAUAAUGAUUUAAAACCAUGGCUAAUUGAGAUAAAUGCAUCGCCUUCUUUAUCUGCAACAACAUAUUCUGAUCGUAUUUUAAAGCUUUCACUUAUAAAUGACGUUAUCAAUAUUGUUGUUCCUUUUAAUGAAAUGCCAGACGUUAAGCAUAAAAAAUCAACGACUAAAAAGAAUUAUGGGAAAUUUUGUUUCACUUUACGUAUUUUAUAAAUGGCUGCUGUGCAAAUGCACACGAGCAAAACGAGGCUACAAAUUAUUAUGCAAAGAUUUAAUUUUGUCCGGGUUUAUCCAUCCCUCUGAGCUUGCGAGAGAGAUGGAUGCCCGUGUUUGAAAUAAAUUGUAUGAUGAAAAACGUUCUAUUCGCAUUCAUUCGUCAAUUACCUCAUCGAAGGAAACUU
rnacentral:misc_RNA from 1 species